rfam:Hordeum vulgare subsp. vulgare, WGS project CAJW01000000 data, contig: morex_contig_7640
GUAUUACCGAGAGUUCCCUUCAAGCACUUUACGGAGUACCUCUCCAAGGUAUUAUGUGAAGUGUUUGGGGGAACUUUCGGUGUGGC